UCGCACCUCUCCUUUUCUUUG
rnacentral:piRNA from 1 species